CGACCCUCAAGCACAGCUUGGUGUUGGGUGCGGUCCCGGGGGACCCGCCCGCAACUCGUAGGCGGCCGGCGCCCGCGCCCCCAGCGUAGCAAGCUCACGCGUUCGCUCGGGGACGGCGCGGCUGGCAAGCCAUAAACCUUUCCAAG
rnacentral:misc_RNA from 1 species